rnacentral:rRNA from 1 species
UACGUAGGGCGCAAGCGUCGUCCGGAAUCAUUGGGCGUAAAGAGCUCGUAGGUGGUCUGUUACGUCUGCUGUGAAAACCUAGGGCUUAACCCUGGGCCUGCAGUGGAUACGGGCAGACUAGAGGUAGGUAGGGGAGAAUGGAAUUCCCGGUGUAGCGGUGAAAUGCGCAGAUAUCGGGAGGAACACCGGUGGCGAAGGCGGUUCUCUGGGCCUUACCUGACACUGAGGAGCGAAAGCGUGGGGAGCGAACAGG